ensembl:lncRNA
GUUCCUACGAGGCCUGCUGGUCGUUCCUCUCUCUCCCAACACCUCACCGCUGCAGAGCGCCGACAGCUGAGCAACUGCUGUGGUCGCAGCAGAAAACAUGAUUGCCAACAGGGUCGCACAUGCAGACCAGAGCGUUAAAAGACUAUUCUCCUUGUUGUGGUCCAUGGAGGCUUACAUGUACUGUACCUUCCAGAGCAAUGUGGCCUGCUUGUGUUACAUACUUUUGUGGGCCGCCUCCCUAACAACUGGCAACAAAGGAGCCAUUGAGCAGAGGCAGCGACGAGGGGCUUUGAUGGGUAAUCUGCAUGCGUUUGUAGAGGGAAACUGGAGCUGGGUUAAAGGAAACAGGUGCAACUCAUUUCAAUAUCCUCAGUCCUUUUUCCUCUCAAUUUUCUUUAUCAUCCUUGUUUUCCUUUUUGCUAAAUCUUUGGUAGAGGUGAAAUUCCCGAGUGACACUGAACUUUAUCUACACACAGAAACACACAGUGCAUUGAUUCAUGCCGUGCAGCCUCACUCUCUUCCUCACAGGUCAAACAUCAAAGUGGCGAUGUAAAAUGUACUCUGGGAACAGGAAGCGGUCCAGCUUGAUGCCGCACACCGCAGGUGUUACGGCUUUUGCCGUUGCAGGAACAGGUUUUUUGGAGAUCACGUUGCUCUGUCGGCACAGCUAAGGGGCCGAUUUGGAUGCCAAGGGUCCUGCACACGGACGCGGAUUAGCGUAGCCCGGCAUCGAACUGCCGAUCCUCUGAUUGAAGGACGCUCCGUCUCUCCCACUGAGCCUCAGCCGACUCAGCCGGCGUCUUCUCCCACAUCCAGCUGCAUCUGCCUGGCCUGCG